CCUACGGGAGGCAGCAGUGGGGAAUAUUGGGCAAUGGGCGAAAGCCUGACGCAGCAAUGCCGCGUGAAUGAAGAAGGUCUUAGGAUUGUAAAAUUCUGUCUUCUGGGAAGAAAAAUAUGACGGUCUCAUAGUACUACGCCCCGGCUAACCACGUGCCAGCAGCCGCGGUAAUACGUAGGGCGCGAGCGUUGUCCGGAGUUACUGGGCGUAAAGGGAGCGUAGGCGGCACUACAAGUCUGAUGUGAAAUACCCGGGCUUAACGUGGGGAUUGCAUGGGAAACUGGAGAGCUUGAGUACAGGAGAGGCAAGCGGAAUUCCUAGUGUAGCGGUGAAAUGCAUAGAUAUUAGGAGGAACACCAGUGGCGAAGGCGGCUUGCUGGACUGAAACUGACGCUGAGGCUCGAAAGCGUGGGGAGCAAACAGGAUUAGAUACCCCAGUAGUC
rnacentral:rRNA from 1 species